AUUGAACGCUGGCGGCAGGCUUAACACAUGCAAGUCGAGCGGGGGAAGGUAGCUUGCUACCGGACCUAGCGGCGGACGGGUGAGUAAUGCUUAGGAAUCUGCCUAUUAGUGGGGGACAACAUCUCGAAAGGGAUGCUAAUACCGCAUACGUCCUACGGGAGAAAGCAGGGGAGCUUCGGACCUUGCGCGAAUAGAUGAGCGUAAGUCGGAUUAGCUAGUUGGUGGGGUAAAGGCCUACAAAGGCGAAGAUCUGUAGCGGGUCUGAGAGGAUGAUCCGCCACACUGGGACUGAGACACGGCCCGGACUCCUACGGGAGGCAGCAGUGGGGAAUAUUGGACAAUGGGGGGAACCCUGAUCCAGCCAUGCCGCGUGUGUGAAGAAGGCCUUAUGGUUGUAAAGCACUUUAAGCGAGGAGGAGGCUACUCUAGUUAAUACCUAGGGAUAGUGGACGUUACUCGCAGAAUAAGCACCGGCUAACUCUGUGCCAGCAGCCGCCGUAA
rnacentral:rRNA from 1 species